CCUACGGGAGGCAGCAGUGAGGAAUAUUGGUCAAUGGGCGCGAGCCUGAACCAGCCAAGUCGCGUGAGGGAAGACGGUCCUAUGGAUUGUAAACCUCUUUUGUCGGGGAGCAAAAGACGCCACGCGUGGCGUUCCGAGAGUACCCGAAGAAAACGCAUCGGCUAACUCCGUGCCAGCAGCCGCGGUAAUCCGGCGGAUGCAAGCGGUAUCCGGAUUUAUUGGGUUUAAAGGGUGCGCAGGCGGAAGAUCAAGGCAGGGGGAAAAUUGAGAGGCUCAACCUCUUAGAGCCGUUGAAACUGGUUUUCUUGAGUGAGUGAGAAGUAUGCGGAAUGCGUGGUGUCGCGGUGAAAUGCAUAGAUAUCACGCAGAACUCCGAUUGCGAAGGCAGCAUACCGGCGCUCAACUGACGCUCAUGCACGAAAGUGUGGGUAUCGAACAGGAUUAGAUACCCGGGUAGUC
rnacentral:rRNA from 1 species